rnacentral:tRNA from 1 species
GGGCCCGUAGCUCAGCGGUUAGAGCAGCGAACUCAUAAUUCGUAGGUCCCUGGUUCGAAUCCAGGCGGGCCCU